rnacentral:lncRNA from 1 species
AGGCAGAUAAUGUCAGAAAACUAAUGAAAUCGAGGGGAGUGAAGAAAAAUCCGGGCUGUAGUUGGAUAUGAACUUGUAUAACAAAGUGGGUAUCACAUUUACCUUCAACAUAUUGCAAUGUAGCCAAGUAUAGAAUUGAUAUUCCUUAACUGGAUUAAGGGGUUGUUUGACUUAAUUUAAAAGAAGUAAAUUAUUGUUUCCGACCUGGGUGACGGCGAGGUGGUGGAUGGAUCACCUCCAAAACCUGCUAAGAAACGGAGAAGAGCAUCUGAGCUCGGUAGUGAGUUGGGAGCUCUGCAUGAAGCCCAAUAUUUCACUGGUGGUAAUGUUGGAAAAAUCCCUUUGCUCGUUUUGCUAAUCUAAAUUCAGGCUCGUCUUCUCUCAACAGGAGCUUGAUCAGGGAUAAAGGAAAAACAAAAUUAAUGGAUGACUUUGCGUUCAGUGAUAAUGGAGUUCUCUCAAGAGGCAAUAGAGCUCCUAGACGAAAAGAGGCUCCAAAAAUAUUCUCAGGUCUUCUCUAAUGACAUUAUAAACUUGGAUGCUCUGGUUGGUUGGUGAUGAAGUUUUUGCAAGCGAUAUGUCUUACCAUGCUUUGUUUGGUUCAUUUACAGGAGAUCUUAUCAAAACUUGCAGUGUCUAGCCUGGAAAAGACAAAAGAUCAUUAAAAUUAUUAGAUCAAUUAAAAUUAAAAUUAAAAUUAAGAGUUAUAUAUAUUCAGAUGAAUCGAGAAUAUAUAUUCAGACAAAAGAUCAUUAAAAUUAUUAGAUCAAUUAAAAUUAUCUUCGUAUCAAACNUUUUCGAUCAUAUUCCUAUCAAGGAUGUAGCCUCAUGGAAUACAAUGAUUUUAGGGUAUGGGAUGCUAGGUGAAUUUGAUACUGCAAUUAAUCUUUUUGAGAUCAUGAAAGAAGAUGGCAUCAAAUGUGAUUCAGUUUCUUAUAUUGCAGUAUUAUCUGCUUGUAGUCAUGGAGGGUUCGUGGAGAAAGGCAAACAGUAUUUUAACGAGAUCUAUGCUCUGGGUAUCGGACCAAACCAAACGCACUAUGCUUGUAUGGUUGAUAUUCUUGCUCGAGCUGGCCUAAUGGAAGAGGCAGUAAAGUUCAUAAAGAGCAUGCCACUGGAACCAGAUGCAAAUGUCUGGGGUUCUCUGCUUGGGGCAUGCCGACUCCAUGAAAAUAUCGAGUUGGGAUCCUGGGCUGCAGAGAAUUUACUCAAGCUAAAACCGGAGCAACCAGGAUAUUACAUACUCCAUUCAAACAUGUAUGCAAAAGCAGGGAGAUGGGAUGAGGCAGAUAAUGUCAGAAAACUAAUGAAAUCGAGGGGAGUGAAGAAAAAUCCGGGCUGUAGUUGGAUAUGAACUUGUAUAACAAAGUGGGUAUCACAUUUACCUUCAACAUAUUGCAAUGUAGCCAAGUAUAGAAUUGAUAUUCCUUAACUGGAUUAAGGGGUUGUUUGACUUAAUUUAAAAGAAGUAAAUUAUUGUUUCCGACCUGGGUGACGGCGAGGUGGUGGAUGGAUCACCUCCAAAACCUGCUAAGAAACGGAGAAGAGCAUCUGAGCUCGGUAGUGAGUUGGGAGCUCUGCAUGAAGCCCAAUAUUUCACUGGUGG